ACCAGCGGUAGUCAGCUGUCCUUGACACUACCAUGUCUGUGACAGUGUUACACAACUGGGAGAUAAAAGUACUGUCCACUAGCUGUUUGUCAUUGGCUCUGUUCUGGAGGCAUCUGACACCAGUGUGGGAGCAGUCUUGUGCUUCUCUGAGAGUGUGCUGAGCAGCCAACACCCUGCUCAGUGCUAGUCUGAAAGCAUACACA